GUUUUAAUGAGUGUGUACAAUCAAUAUAUCUUAACAUUUCAUCUGAUUGACUACGCAACACGCUAUCAAGUAUGGAAAUCAACUUUAUCACCAUCCUUGCCUUAGGUUUAGUUUUUGCUGCCUACCGAGCGAUAGAAGUAUGGAGAGACGAAAUGUAUCACCUUAGGCAGGAUCUAAAAAAUCAAAAUGAUAAGAUGACUGAACUGACCUACAACAUUAGGGAGCACACGCAGAAUUUCAACAUUCUCCGUGAGAGUGUCUCAUCCGAAACCGCUGCUAUUGAAAAAUUUCGUUCAGAUUCUAACCACAAUACCCAAAAGUUUAAGGAAAUAGUGGAAAAAAUGGCAAAACAAAUGGACGAAGACCGGGCAAAGCGGAUUGAAUGCAAUAGAAAAAUUGAAAUGCUCCAGGAGGAAAUCGUUAACAUGAAGAAAACAUUUGAAGAGAAAAUCGGUAGAAUGGAACGGGACCGUUAUUAUGAAUCAAAAACAACAACUGCUGUUGGUCAACCAGAAAGGCGAUGGGGAAUUUUUGACUAUGUAUUGACAAUAGUGGCUAUGCUUAAAUUCUGGUAAACGACCAGUGGCGUAUCUAGGGGGGUAAAAAUUACUGGCGCGGCCCCUACCCCUAAAAUAAAUCAUGGUCAAGUAGUUAAAAAUCACCUAAAAUCACCUUAUUUUGCUAAUUAUCACCCCUCAACUUAUUAUCGCCUUCCCCCACUUUAACCCACCUCCCCACCAGUUCCCCCUUUUCAAGACUUCUAGAUACGCCACUGUAAACGAUCUAUUGGUAACAUUAGCUAUCUCUUUUAACAUAAUUAUUUCCGCAUGUUUGAUGAUAUGCAUACAAUACAUUACUGUAUAUAAUAAUCUUAGGUAAUCACUAAAGUAUCAUUCAUAAUCAUGUAGGCUACGUUCUUCUCGACCUUACUUCAUUUCUCCUUCUAUUGUUCAGGUACCGUCUCCUGUCCAGAGGUUGGUUGCAUGCAAUGUCUCAAUUCUUGUUUUCUAUCUUUAGACACCCUGUUACAACAAGCGUGGUGUGUCAUGCCGGUCCAUUCUUGUAUGUUGCCAGACUAUAUCUUGCGUGGGUUUCCCCUGGGUCUAUUUCCAUUGACUUUCCCUUCUAGGAGCAGUUUUUGCACACCCUCCCUUCUAAUAUUAAUAUUCCCCAGGGAUUUUAUCACUUUUUCCAUUUACAAGACUUUUUCAUUUGUCAUUCUUCGACAGUGGCGGCGCUAUGCGGCGGGGAGGGGGAGGGAGGCGGAGGGAAUUCCCCAUUUCUACAUAUUAGAUUAUCUACCUAUAAAAUCGAUUAAAUAAGCCUUGGACCACUUUCGUGACAUUUUGAACGACGUCCGACCACGCCCACCUCGGGCCAGGUACCCCAGCAUAUUUCCCCCUAAAAUUUUACCUUCCCCCUCACUUCCCCACCCCCAGAUUUCAGACGCUGACGCCGCACUGUUCUUCGAGUUCAUGAUAUUCUUUAGUACUCUUCUCAGAAUUCACAUUUCAAAAGAACUGAUGUUGUCUUCUAUUUCGGCAGAAGGGUCCAUGCCUCUGCUGCAUACAUGAAUGUGGAGACGACGCAACAAUUAACAUAUAUUGGUAUGAGGAAUUCAUUAUUGUCAUUUUAUGUGACGCUUUUUUGAUGAAAUUUGAUAGUGUAGACAAAGCUUUAAAGUUGAGAUAUUUUCCCCGGCCCCUUGGACAACAUCAAAUUGAGGUUCUUAUUGGUGCAUAGGCCUAUACUUUUUAAUGUUUUUACCGCAGCCGAUGACGGAGCCGACUUGCGGAGGUUUCAUAUGGCAUAAAUAAGGCCAGGAUGUAUGGGCUACAGUCACUUGCUGAUUUUUUUAAAUGGGUUCAAUGACAUUAUUGGCCUCAAAGGCUUUUGAGCUGCGGAUUAAGCUGUGUUCACACCAUCAAACUUUAUGUGACGAGUAACUGUGAUAUACUCAUAUUUGGUUGAUGUGGCAUAUAUGGGCACAUCACACAAAAUCUGUCACAUAAAAUGUCAUAGUGAGGACAGAGGUUAAGUUGUAAACAUGUCAAACUCAACUACAAACCCGUGAUUAUUUUUUUUUUCGAAUCUACAAUAAUCCAGUUAAACAUUUAGGCCUAUUCAGUAUUUUUAUAUAUCUUUUUUUUUUUCUUUUUUGUAGGGUUUCACCUACAUUUACAGUAUUUCCAAUAAAAUACAUUCGUCGAUGUUAAAACAUCUUACGUUUAUAUAAGAUUAACAUACAUAAGAAUAUUUUAAAACCCACAUGGUGCGCAUGCAACAGGAAAUAAAAUAAAAUGGGGUCAGUCCAAAGCGGCUGACUAAUACAUUUUUUAACAUUCAUUUCGAAUAAUUCAGUGGUUAUACAUCUUUCCUUAUACUUUCUUUUAUACAUUUUCUUAAUAAACGCCUAAGGGUAAUAUCUGCCACUAUCCUAGACACAAAUUCAUCCUUAUAAAAGCUCUUAAAAAUAUAAUUUGGCCUACUCACAAUAUUCCUGGUGCACACGUAUCAAAAGCGAAACAUGUGGCAUCCUCUACGGCUGACUAAUUCAUUAUUUUUGCUUAAACAUCAGUUAAUAUAAAGUUCCUUUACCCGUGAUUAUUAAUAGAUUAAAUUUUAUAGAUUCUGUAAAACGAACUUAUAAAUUGCUAGGUAUUACUAUAAAACUCUUGUCACACAGUCGAGUAAUUUUGGUUCAGUUUUUCAUUUUUACAGGAGUAUAUAGACACUUAACAUUCCCUAUAGCCAGUGACACUAUUAAUUUGAUUGAAACUUGUCAAAUCAUAGAAAUUUUAAGGACAAUCUGAAUAAGGGUAUACUGAUACAGGAUCUAGAACAUAUCGAUGCAAAAUUACUGUAAAUGCUCAAUAUACAAUUUUUGGAGGCUUCAGUGCAGCGCUUAUAAAAAAAAAUAUUGGUGUGGCGCUUUCCAUGCCCCAUAUUACCAUACUCAUCUCACGUAUUUCCGUAGUUCAGUAGUAUAAUCUAUUCUCGAUUCAGCGGCGCUUAUUCGAAAGCAGCGUUGAGAGAGAACAAACGUUUACGGUAACUUUGUAUUGCCUUACUUUUAAAAUCACAUUUAAGUUAAUUUUAUAUCUGACAUAUAUUUUUACUGUAGGUUUAGUAUUGUUUGAUGUUCUUUUUUGAAACUUUUUUCUUACAUUUUAGUUAAAGUAACUUUUGCAAACUUUGAUUCGCUUUGUAUUUCUUGUAUUGCUUUGGGUGCAAUGCACCUUCCAUUUCCAUUAUGAAAUGUGCUGCUGAUGAAAAAGUGUAGUUCCUAAUAAAUUACUAUUAUGAUUCAGGCACACAA